rnacentral:rRNA from 1 species
CCUACGGGAGACUGCAGUCGGGAAUAUUGCGCAAUGGAGGAAACUCUGACGCAGUGACGCCGCGUAUAGGAAGAAGGUUUUCGGAUUGUAAACUAUUGUCGUUAGGGAAGAUAAAAGACUGUACCUAAGGAGGAAGCCCCGGCUAACUAUGUGCCAUCAGCCGCGGUAAUACGUAGGGGGCAAGCGUUAUCCGGAUUUACUGGGUGUAAAGGGAGCGUAGACGGCGCUGCAAGUCCGGAGUGAAAGCCCAUGGCUUAACCAUGGUACUGCUCUGGAAACUGUGGAGCUUGAGUGCGGGAGGGGCAGGCGGAAUGCCUAGUGUAGCGGUGAAAUGCGUAGAUAUUAGGAGGAACACCGGCGGCGAAGGCGGCCUGCUGGACCGUAACUGACGUUGAGGCUCGAAAGCGUGGGGAGCAAACAGGAUUAGAUACCCCUGUAGUC